rnacentral:rRNA from 1 species
UAGACGAGUUUGAUCCUGGCUCAGAUUGAACGCUGGCGGCAUGCCUUACACAUGCAAGUCGAACGGCAGGCGGACCUUCGGGUGCCGGCGAGUGGCGAACGGGUGAGUAAUAUAUCGGAACGUACCUUCAGUGGGGGAUAACGUAGCGAAAGUUACGCUAAUACCGCAUAUUCUGUGAGCAGGAAAGCAGGGGAUCGCAAGACCUUGCGCUGAUUGAGCGGCCGAUAUCAGAUUAGCUAGUUGGUGAGGUAAAGGCUCACCAAGGCGACGAUCUGUAGCGGGUCUGAGAGGAUGAUCCGCCACACUGGAACUGAGACACGGUCCAGACUCCUACGGGAGGCAGCAGUGGGAAUUUUGGACAAUGGGGGAAACCCUGAUCCAGCCAUGCCGCGUGAGUGAUGAAGGCCCUAGGGUCGUAAAACUCUUUCGCUGGGGAAGAUAAUGACGGUACCCAGUAAAGAAACCCCGGCUAACUCCGUG